CGUCGUCGUCGUCGUCGUCGUCGUCGUCGUCGUCGUCGUCGUCGUCGUCGUCGUCGUCGUCGUCGUCGUCGUCGUCGUCGUCGUCGUCGUCGUCGUCGUCGUCGUCGUCGUCGUCGUCGUCGUCGUCGUCGUCGUCGUCGUCGUCGUCGUCGUCGUCGUCGUCGUCGUCGUCGUCGUCGUCGUCGUCGUCGUCGUCGUCGUCGUCGUCGUCGUCGUCGUCGUCGUCGUCGUCGUCGUCGUCGUCGUCGUCGUCGUC
rnacentral:lncRNA from 1 species